GUGCUGGCUUCAGCUGCACAUAAACUAAAAUUGGAAAGAUAUAGAGAAGUUUAGCAUGGCCCCUGCACAAGAAUGACAUGCAAAUUGGUAAAGCAUUUGGUAUUAAA